AUUGAACGCUGGCGGCAGGCCUAACACAUGCAAGUCGAACGGUAACAGGAAGCAGCUUGCUGCUUCGCUGACGAGUGGCGGACGUGUGUGUCAUGUCUGGGAAACUUCCUGAUGGAGGGGGUUACCUACUGGAAACGGUUCCUAUUACCGCUUAACUUCUCAAGCCCAAAGAGGGGGACCUUAUGGCCUCUUGCCUUCGUCUGUGCCCAGUUGGGUUUAGCUAGUAGGUGGGGUAACGGCUCACCUAGGCGACGAUCCCUACCUGGUAUGAGAGGAUGACCAGCCACACUGGAACUGAGACACGGACCAGACUCCUACGGGAGGCAGCAGUGGGGAAUAUUGCACAAUGGGCGCAAGCCUGAUGCAGCCAUGCCGAGCGUAUGAAGAAGGCCUUCGGGUUGUAAAGUACUUUAAGCGGGGAGGAAGGGAGUAAAGUUAAUACCUUGGCUGAUUGACGUUACCCGCAGAAGGAGCACCGGCUAGCUCCGUG
rnacentral:rRNA from 1 species